rnacentral:ncRNA from 1 species
AACUAGGUCCCUAUGUCUAAGAGGUUUAUUACCCUAAUUCAAUAAGACGUAUAGUUCUAUUUUAUUAAUUUUUAGAACUACUAUAAUAAUUAAUAGGGAUAGUUGAGAGUAUUAGUAUUCAAUUGUUAGAGGUGAAAUUCUUAGAUUUAUUAAAGACUAACUAUUGUAAAAGCAUUUGCUAAGGAUAUUUUCAUUAAUUAAGAACGAAAGUUAAGGGAUUAAAGACGAUUAGAUACCAUUGUAGUCUUAACUAUAAACUAUACUAAUUAGGGAUUGGAUAGCGUUAUUUUUUAACUUGUUUAGCACUUUACAAUAAAUUAAAAUGUUUAGGCUCCUAGGGGAGUAUAGUCGCAAGGCUGAAACUUAAAGAAAUUGACAGAAGGGCACCACUAGGGGUGGAGCCUAUAGCUUAAUUUAACUCAAAGAUAGGGAAGCUCUCUAAGAGCCUAUACUAUUGCUUAUUUCUCUUAAGUUAGUAGACUAACUUUUAAGACCUAUAGCUUUAAUUAUAAGUUGAAGCCUGCUUACUUACAAAUACUCUUCUUUCUUAGAGCGGUUAUGCUCUUAGAUACUUACACAUGGCCCUACCCCAUCUGACACCGCCCUUGUACACCCACAUGCCUGGCGCGUUCCCGGCUUUGAGUCCCUCAAUGGCAUUGGCAAGCUGUGGGCCCAGGCCUUCGGCCUUGAUGUCAGCAAGCGGGUAUAGAAGCGUCUUGAAGCUAAAGAGGAUUGCUCCGGUUUCAGGGAGCCGCGUCAGAGUCUGCUGCU